UUACUACUACGCAGCAAUUUCCGAAAAAUUUGGCUCCCAAAUCCUUGCAUGGUAUACGCUUGGGGUAAGUUUGUUGUUGCUGAGUCAUGUUGUGGCUACUCUCUACUCAGUCAGGAUUGAUCUAGAAAAGAUCAGCAAAAUGGCGUUUCCUGAAUAUGUUAGAACUGAUUCUAUUUUAUUUUUCUUUUCCUAUAAUAGUUCAAUCAUGUAGUAACAAAGCAACUUAACUAAGACUCUGCUGCAUGCUUAGGCACAUUCUUUGCAAAUUAGUUAAAACCGGCAUUUACAAUAUUUUUAAAAUUUAUACAAUCAGUCUAGUUUAAUUUAGGUAAUUUAAUAGAUAGGACUUCAAAAUCCC